UACGGAGGGGGCUAGCGUUGUUCGGAAUUACUGGGCGUAAAGCGCACGUAGGCGGCUUUGCAAGUUAGAGGUGAAAGCCCGGGGCUCAACUCCGGAAUUGCCUUUAAAACUGCAUCGCUAGAAUUGUGGAGAGGUAAGUGGAAUUCCGAGUGUAGAGGUGAAAUUCGUAGAUAUUCGGUAGAACACCAGGGGCGAAGGCGACUUACUGGACACAUAUUGACGCUGAGGUGCGAAAGCGUGGGGAGCAAACAGG
rnacentral:rRNA from 1 species